CUUAUGAAGUUAGCGGCGGACGGGUGAGUAACACGUGGGUAACCUGCCCAUAAGACUGGGAUAACUCCGGGAAACCGGGGCUAAUACCGGAUAACAUUUUGCACCGCAUGGUGCGAAAUUCAAAGGCGGCUUCGGCUGUCACUUAUGGAUGGACCCGCGUCGCAUUAGCUAGUUGGUGAGGUAACGGCUCACCAAGGCAACGAUGCGUAGCCGACCUGAGAGGGUGAUCGGCCACACUGGGACUGAGACACGGCCCAGACUCCUACGGGAGGCAGCAGUAGGGAAUCUUCCGCAAUGGACGAAAGUCUGACGGAGCAACGCCGCGUGAGUGAUGAAGGCUUUCGGGUCGUAAAACUCUGUUGUUAGGGAAGAACAAGUGCUAGUUGAAUAAGCUGGCACCUUGACGGUACCUAACCAGAAAGCCACGGCUAACUACGUGCCAGCAGCCGCGGUAAUACGUAGGUGGCAAGCGUUAUCCGGAAUUAUUGGGCGUAAAGCGCGCGCAGGUGGUUUCUUAAGUCUGAUGUGAAAGCCCACGGCUCAACCGUG
rnacentral:rRNA from 1 species